rnacentral:rRNA from 1 species
GGGUCAGUAGGUUGGUCGUGCCACUGGUAUGCACUGGCCUUACUGAUUCCUCCUUCUUGAAGAACUGUGAUGUCAUUUACUUGGUGUUGCAGGGAAACAGGACUGUUACUUUGAAAAAAUUAGAGUGUUUAAAGCAGGCUUAUGCUUGAAUACAUUAGCAUGGAAUAAUAAAAAAGGACUUUGGUUCUAUUUUGUUGGUUUCUAGGAUACAAAGUA